CGCUGAGCGCCUAUUGUGCUGUGUGGAAGGUGCGCAGUGAUGUGAUGGCGAAAUGUGUGGCGGCCGCGACGCCAUUUGUUUCCCUUUUGUAACUCUUGAAAAUAGAACAAAGGAGACUCAGCAAACGUCGUGUGAAGUGUUUGCAGCGUUACAGCGGUCAGGGAAUACCACUUUUUAUGUGCAGGUGUGUGAGGGAGAUACUCUGCGCCUCCUUGUGGGGCCUCAUGGCAGGUGGGACUUGGGGGGAGGGACAGCUUCCCCUCCCUUCGCCACCCCUCCCUCCCUCUAUUCAUCUGUUAAGCCCCAAGGAGUAACAGGCAACCAAACACUGUAUCAAAUGCUGUGGAAGAAAACAUCUCCUCCUCCUCCUCCUCCUCCUCCUCCUCCUCCUCCUCCUCCUCUCCUUGUCCUCUGCCCCAUCCUCUUCUUCCCAGUACUCCUUGCGUCAAUCCCCAAUAUUCCCUCCAUUACCUGUAAGAGAAUAAGGUGCGUUGUGUUGCCUCGAUAAGCGGGAAGCUCCUGAACCCUGAGGACAUUGUUAAAACUGCAAAGAAGGUCCUGUAGAAAAAGAAAGGAUUAGAAAUAUGAACGGGAGGGAGAGAAGGAGAGAGAGAUGAAGAAGGACGAGCAAGAGAAGGAGGAGAAGGAAGAGGUGGAAGAGGAGCAUCACGAUAAGAAAGAGGAACACUCGCUAAAGCAGGAGAGGAAUGGAAUAGAAGGAAGAGGGGAACAAAAAAGCCGAGGGGAAGGAGAAACGCCAAUGAAGACAUGAAGGAAGAAAGGAGAGGAAGAGAAGGAGGAGGAGGAAGCCAGGAGAUAGACAAGAUAAACACAACACACACACCAAACUUUCCCUUAAAACACCAGAACACCACACUACCUCAGCACCACCACACAAACACACACCACCACACACCACCACACACCACCACACAAACGCACCACCAAGAGAGACCACCUGGAGGAGGAACCAAAAGCAACACCUGGGGUACAAUAAUGACACAGACCGCUUGGUGCUUAAGGUAGCGGAAGGGAGAAUACAGGGAGAGAGGGAGAGAGAGAGAGAGAGAGAGAGAGGGCAACUAAAUAAACACAAACAACCAAUAUAA